GGUGAACGCUGGCGGCGUGCCUAAUACAUGCAAGUCGAGCGAACAGACGAGGAGCUUGCUCCUCUGACGUUAGCGGCGGACGGGUGAGUAACACGUGGAUAACCUACCUAUAAGACUGGGAUAACUUCGGGAAACCGGAGCUAAUACCGGAUAAUAUAUUGAACCGCAUGGUUCAAUAGUUCAAGACGGCUUUGCUGUCACUUAUAGAUGGAUCCGCGCCGCAUUAGCUAGUUGGUAAGGUAACGGCUUACCAAGGCAACGAUGCGUAGCCGACCUGAGAGGGUGAUCGGCCACACUGGAACUGAGACACGGUCCAGACUCCUACGGGAGGCAGCAGUAGGGAAUCUUCCGCAAUGGGCGAAAGCCUGACGGAGCAACGCCGCGUGAGUGAUGAAGGUCUUCGGAUCGUAAAACUCUGUUAUUAGGGAAGAACAAAUGUGUAAGUAACUAUGCACGUCUUGACGGUACCUAAUCAGAAAGCCACGGCUAACUACGUG
rnacentral:rRNA from 1 species